rnacentral:rRNA from 1 species
UCAGCGGCAGACGGGUGAGUAACGCGUGGGAACAUACCUUUGGUUCGGAACAACACAGGGAAACUUGUGCUAAUACCGGAUAAGCCCUUACGGGGAAAGAUUUAUCGCCGAAAGAUUGGCCCGCGUCUGAUUAGCUAGUUGGUGAGGUAACGGCGUCACCAAGGCGACGAUCAGUAGCUGGUCUGAGAGGAUGAUCAGCCACAUUGGGACUGAGACACGGCCCAA